AGGAACAUGAAGGUGUAGAUCCUGAUAGAAUUGAGUUCUACAAGCAUGCUCAUUACACAAGUGAAAAAGGAUGGUCAUCUGAAGAAGAUGAGACUAACUAUGUAAGAAAUUAAUAUUUUAGUAACAUACCAUUGCAUUUGUAUGAUGAAUAUUCUUCGUGUAUUUUUUUUUGUGUUAUUAUUUUAUGCAGAACAACAUGACAGAUUUAAAAGCUCUUUAUACUUCUGGAGUCUUGUAUGACUAUUGAUGAAAUUAUGGAUGAUGUGCUUGGUACAAAGUCGGGGUACAUAAAAGUUCUUGGUUAUGGUACUAAGCCUAAUACUACAAGGGCAACACAAAUGAGAAUGACAGUGUUAGAAAACUCCCUCAAAAAGGCAAAACAGAAAGCUGCUAGUGCCUAAAAUGAGUUACAAAAAUGAUUAAAUGCAGCUGAAACUAUGGUAGAAAGCCAGCAAUCACAGAUACAAGACCAGCAGUUGCAGAUUAAAGCAUUAAAUUUUCAGUUGAAUACUGUAGCAGCACGCCAAGAGAAAAUGCUUAAGAAAAUGCAGCUUCUUGUUAGUCCAUCACUGUCAAGCGGAGAAAGAAUUCCAUCAGAAUGCCAACUUUAGUCGGGCGCUGCUGCAAAAAAGGCAAUUCUUUCACUCUUAUAGGACCCAGGUAAUUAAUCUCUUAUGUUAUGCUCGGG